GGUUAACGGAGCGAAAGCGACGUUCAACCGCAAAAGAAGCAGAGGGGGCUUAGUGGUGGGGUGACUGCGUACCUUUUGUAUAAUGGGUCAGCGACUUAUAUUCUGUAGCAAGGUUAACCGUAUAGGGGAGCCGGAGGGAAACCGAGUCUUAAUUGGGCGUUAAGUUGCAGGGUAUAGACCCGAAACCCGGUGAUCUAGCCAUGGGCAGGUUGAAGGUUGGGUAACACUAACUGGAGGACCGAACCGACUAAUGUUGAAAAAUUAGCGGAUGACCUGUGGCUGGGGGUGAAAGGCCAAUCAAACCGGGAGAUAGCUGGUUCUCCCCGAAAGCUAUUUAGGUAGCGCCUCGUGAAUUCAUCUCCGGGGGUAGAGCACUGUUUCGGCUAGGGGGCCAUCCCGGCUUACCAACCCGAUGCAAACUGCGAAUACCGGAGAAUGUUAUCACGGGAGACACACGGCGGGUGCUAACGUCCGUCGUGAAGAGGGAAACAACCCAGACCGCCAGCUAAGGUCCCAAAGUCAUGGUUAAGUGGGAAACGAUGUGGGAAGGCCCAGACAGCCAGGAUGUUGGCUUAGAAGCAGCCAUCAUUUAAAGAAAGCGUAAUAGCUCACUGGUCGAGUCGGCCUGCGCGGAAGAUGUAACGGGGCUAAACCAUGCACCGAAGCUGCGGCAGCGACGCUGAUGCGUUGUUGGGUAGGGGAGCGUUCUGUAAGCCUGCGAAGGUGGCCUGUGAGGGUUGCUGGAGGUAUCAGA
rnacentral:rRNA from 1 species